rnacentral:rRNA from 1 species
GACGAAGGAUCCAAGCGUUAUCCGGAUUCAUUGGGUUUAAAGGGAGCGUAGGCGGGUUUAUAAGUCAGUGGUGAAAGCCGAUCGCUUAACGAUCGAACUGCCAUUGAUACUGUAAGCCUAGAGUAUAGAUGAUGUUGGCGGAAUAUGACAUGUAGCGGUGAAAUGCAUAGAUAUGUCAUAGAACACCGAUUGCGAAGGCAGCUGACAAAACUAUAACUGACGCUGAGGCUCGAAAGUGCGGGGAUCAAACAGG